AACGAACGCUGGCGGCAGGCCUAACACAUGCAAGUCGAACGAAGUCUUCGGACUUAGUGGCGCACGGGUGAGUAACACGUGGGAAUAUACCUUACGCUGGGGGAUAACAUCGGGAAACUGAUGCUAAUACCGCAUACGCCCUUCGGGGGAAAGAUUUAUCGGCGAAGGAUUAGCCCGCGUCCGAUUAGCUAGUUGGUGAGGUAAUGGCUCACCAAGGCUCCGAUCGGUAGCUGGUCUGAGAGGAUGACCAGCCACACUGGGACUGAGACACGGCCCAGACUCCUACGGGAGGCAGCAGUGGGGAAUAUUGGACAAUGGGCGCAAGCCUGAUCCAGCCAUGCCGCGUGAGUGAUGAAGGCCUUAGGGUUGUAAAGCUCUUUCACCCACGACGAUGAUGACGGUAGUGGGAGAAGAAGCCCCGGCUAACUUCGUG
rnacentral:rRNA from 1 species